CAAACGAAUAAAAAAUUACGCCAAAUGUCAACCGGGUCGUAGUAAUCUUCGAUUUUGAUUUUACGUGCGAAGAAAAAAACUCGUGAAACAGUUCGGAAAUCUUUUGAUUCCAGCGGAAAAUUGUGUCAGGACGGAACAAAGUUCGCCGCAGUUGAAUUGAGUCAGGUUUUAGGCAAACCGAGUAAGCUCAGCCAGCGGAGCUUUGUUUGCUUCUCGCGUAACUCCUCUGGGAGGAGCGCGCCCUUGUCAUUGCGAAAGGGAUAUUUUUUUCCUCUUCCUGCUUCUAUCCAGAGUGUUCUGCUCGACCGUCGACACAGGCUAAAUGGUCAGAAUAAGUUAAAAAUUGUGUGACGAAAUCACAGCAACAGCCGCGGCUCGGUAAGAAUGGAAGUGGUAGACCCGGGCCAUACGACGGAAAUGUGCUACCUAACAGCCUCCAGUUCGACGACGGACAUGGGCGGAAAACAUAAUCUUUGCCAUCAGCCGCAGCAGAACAAUAACAUCGGAACGGUAAACAGGUCGGAUACCGAUGAUAAGGACGAUCCGGGACGGUACGCAUAUGCUGGGGAUGAUCCGCCUCCGGCGGAUGGGUUUGCUAGAGGGAAUAAUGGCAAUUUGUUCGAAGUGCCGGAGCAUGAGGAAGAUUAUGGGUUGGAGGAAGUGUACCGUACGGUGGACAGUCAGCGGUCGGCGGUUCAGUGGAUAAACGACGACGAUGAGAUUGAACGGUUGGACCUGUCGCUGUCUGUUGAUCCGGCCAACAUCGUGUUCAAUCGGGUGGACAGUGCGGAUAUCAUCUAUCAGGCCAAGCGGAAGAAAUGCAAACUGGUUGGAAAGUAUGUGAUGGGGGACGUGCUGGGCGAAGGGAGCUACGGCAAGGUGAAGGAAGUGCUGGACUCCGAGACGCUCAGCCGGCGGGCGGUUAAGAUCCUUACCAAGCGGAAACUGCGACGCAUUCCAAACGGCGAACAGAACGUCCGGUGCGAGAUAAAUCUGCUGCGUCGGUUGCACCACAACAACGUGAUCGAGCUGCUCGAUGUUCUGUACAACGAGGAAAAGCAGAAGAUGUACUUGAUCAUGGAGUACUGUGUGGGCGGAUUGCAGGAGAUGCUGGAUUCCGUUCCAUCGAAGAAACUACCGAUGCAUCAGACUCACAGCUACUUUGUCCAGUUGCUGAGUGGGUUGGAAUAUCUGCACGGGAUGGGUAUCAUCCACAAGGAUAUCAAGCCGGGCAAUUUGCUGCUGACGCUGGAUCACACGUUGAAGAUUACGGAUUUUGGCGUGGCGGAGGCACUGGAUAUUUUCGCUUCUAAUGACGACUGCACUACCGGACAGGGUUCACCGGCUUUCCAACCACCGGAAAUCGCCAACGGACACGAGGUCUUUUCCGGCUUCAAAGUAGAUAUUUGGAGCGCUGGAGUUACGCUUUAUAACAUCGCAACGGGACUAUACCCGUAUGAAGGUGAUAAUAUUUACAAAUUACUAGAGAAUAUAGGAAAAUGUGAAUGGGUUGCCCCCGAGUGGUUAGAGUGCCGGCUAGCGGACAUGUUGACUAAUAUUCUGAAGGCGGAUCCGCUGGAGCGAUUCAGCUUGCAACAAAUUCGGCAGCAUGAAUGGUUCCGAUGUGCUCCGAUAGCCACAGGCCCUUCCGUGCCGGUACCACCCCUCAAGGGAGACUCACUUCGACGUUCCACUGUGUUGCCUUACCUAGAAGCUCACCACUACGAGGCGGAUCGGGAUAUGGCCAAUGUGUACUUCACCGAGCACGACAUCAACGAGGAGAUAGCCCGCCGUCAGCAGCAGCAAGGCUCCUUGCUGGACCCUGGCUGUCCCCACGCGUUGGAGUCACUGUCGUACCACUCGGACCAGCAUCACGAUGUUCAGUCGCAGCAUCAUAAUCAACACCAUCAGUAUCAGAACAACAGUAGUAAUGUUAGUGCAAGCUAUUCCGGUGAAGGAGCCGGCGAUGCGGAUAGUGGGAACCGGUCGCAGCGGAAAUUGCGCAGUUUUUCCCUUUCACCUAAGAUUAGCUCGCGCCAUGCUACGGCGGUUACGGGUGCCGAGGGUGGUAAUACGAGUAAUAGUAGUAGCAGCAAGCGGUCCCGCCACAAGAAGCCCGUUUCCUGUAUAUCGUGGAAAAAGUGGUCCCACUGUCGACAAUCGUGAAGCAGCAAAGCAGCGUUUGCGUAGGACUAGAAGGAAGAAGGACCGGUUGUUUCGCGGCGGGUCCCCGCAUGCUGAUGCCAUUCGAUGUUUUCUAGGAGCUAAAAUUAUUUCAACACAAUUUUCAAUAAGUAGCACCGACUACACCGUAAACUGUCAAAAUCAAGAAUACCAUAAAAUAUUUAAUUGAAAAGUUGUAUGGGACGAGGUCACGAAAAAUUCAACUGCUGUAGAUUGUGCAAUCUAAUGGAGAUUGUUCAACCUGUUGCUUUUAGUAAAUUAAUUGUAAAUUUGUCAAACUAGUCAGCAAAGUGCAAACGAAUAAUAUCCCAUCGGAAAGAGCAAAAUAUAAAAGUUCGGAUAAAAUUGAUCACCUACUACAGUAGCAGUCUCAAGCCAUAUGAAAACAGAUAAAAAUGAAACCAAUAAAAAAAAUACUACAAUACUUUUAUCAAUCAGUCUUCCUUGCCAUUGAAAAACUUUGUAGUCACAUAACGAAGUAGCAAAAAAUAUAAACAUUCACGUUCCACAGUUCAGAACAACGCGGUCGCAGGUUGUAAAAAAAUAGCAAAGCUUACAAACGCAUUAUAAAACAAAACAAAUAAAUUGCAGUCACGAAAUGUGUAAAAAAUCAGUAUAAGUAGAUAAUUAAUAUAUUCAGUGAAAGAAGAGGGAAAUAUAAGAAAGUUUUUUCAGAUACACAAAACAGGAGAAUUGAAUAAAACAUUGAACAAGUUAAUCGUCAA